UUCUCCUGGAUGGGAAAUGCUAUUAUUUUUCAAAAGAGAAUAAAACAUUUAAUGAAAGUAUUAAUAUUUGUAAAUCGUGGAACUCUUCACUGGUGUCAGUGGUGGAAAAAGACAGCGCUUUACAGGCCAUUAUUAUGAUAGCAUCCCACAAUUACUGGAUCCACGCAGCAGGUGGAAACGAGAACAAGUCAGAUGUCACAGGAAAAUGUACAGAAUUUAGUGCUCGUGUGAAGAUGAGAAAUUGCUCUGAAAUGAGUCGUUGGAUCUGUGAGAAAUCACCGAUAAAGAGUUAAAAUUAUCUCCGCUGGAUUAUCGAUUAUUAACUAAAACUGGACGUCUUCUACUAAAUGCUGCCGAAAACCCACCCCCUUCCAAUCCUUCUACCCCUCUGUAUGACGGAAACCAAUCGGCUUCAUUAAUCACUAAUUGUAUGUUUUUUUUCCUCAAUAAAGCAAAGUGAUUUUA